UACGUAGGGGGCGAGCGUUGUCCGGAAUUACUGGGCGUAAAGGGCGCGUAGGCGGCCCGCUAAGUCCGCUGUGAAAGACCGAGGCUCAACCUCGGGGUGUCAGCGGAGACUGGUGGGCUUGGGUGUCGGAGAGGAGCAGGGAAUCCCUGGUGUAGCGGUGGAAUGCGUAGAGAUCAGGGGGAACACCGAUGGCGAAGGCACUGCUCUGGCCGAAGACCGACGCUGAUGCGCGAAAGCUGGGGGAGCGAACGGG
rnacentral:rRNA from 1 species